rnacentral:rRNA from 1 species
UACAGAGGUCUCAAGCGUUGUUCGGAUUCAUUGGGCGUAAAGGGUGCGUAGGUGGCGGGGUAAGUCAGGUGUGAAAUCUCGGGGCUCAACCCCGAAACUGCACUUGAUACUGCCUUGCUUGAGUACUGGAGAGGAGAUUGGAAUUUACGGUGUAGCAGUGAAAUGCGUAGGUAUCGUAAGGAAGACCAGUGGCGAAGGCGAAUCUCUGGACAGUUACUGACACUGAGGCACGAAGGCCAGGGGAGCAAACGGG